rnacentral:rRNA from 1 species
GAGUAACGCGUAGGUAACCUCGCCUUGUAGCGGGGGAUAACUAUCGGAAACGAUAGCUAAUACCGCAUAACAAUGGAUGACACAUGUCAUUUAUUUGAAAGGGGCAAUUGCUCCACUACAAGAUGGACCUGCGUUGUAUUAGCUAGUAGGUGAGGUAAUGGCUCACCUAGGCGACGAUACAUAGCCGACCUGAGAGGGUGAUCGGCCACACUGGGACUGAGACACGGCCCAGACUCCUACGGGAGGCAGCAGUAGGGAAUCUUCGGCAAUGGGGGCAACCCUGACCGAGCAACGCCGCGUGAGUGAAGAAAGGUUUUUCGGAUCGUAAAGCUCUGUUGUAAGUCAAAGAACGGGUGUGAGAGUGGAAAAGUUCACACUGUGACGGUAGCUUACCAGAAAAGGGACGGCUAACUACGUGCCAGCAGCCGCGGUAAUACGUAGGUCCCGAGCGUUGUCCGGAUUUAUUGGGCGUAAAGCGAGCGCAGGCGGUUUGAUAAGUCUGAAGUUAAAGGCUGUGGCUCAACCAUAGUUCGCUUUGGAAACUGUCAAACUUGAGUGCAGAAGGGGAGAGUGGAAUUCCAUGUGUAGCGGUGAAAUGCGUAGAUAUAUGGAGGAACACCGGUGGCGAAAGCGGCUCUCUGGUCUGUAACUGACGCUGAGGA